GACUGUACAAAGGUAGCAUAAUCAUUUGGAUUUUAAUUGGAUUCUGGAAUGAAUGGCUGGAUGAGAAAUAUACUUUCUUUAUUUUAAAAAAAGAAUUUGAUUUUUAAGUUAAAAAGCUUAAAUAUUUUUAUAGGACGAGAAGACCCUAUAAAACUUUAUUAAGAAAGGCUAUUCAUUAUUUUGGUUUAUAAGUUAAUAAAUGGUUUAUUUUAAUUUUGUUGGGGCGACAAAAAAAAUUUUAUAACUUUUUUUUAUUUAUACAUUUAUUUAUGUUUUAUUGAUCCUAUUUUAUGGAAAAAAGACUAAGUUACUUUAGGGAUAACAGCGUUAUUUCUUUAUAGAGUUCUUAUCGAUAAAGAAGUUUGCGACCUCGAUGUUGGAUUAAAAUAAGUUUUGGGAGUAAAAUAUCAUUUACUAGGUCUGUUCGACCUUUAAUUUUUUACA
rnacentral:rRNA from 1 species